UACGUAGGGUGCGAGCGUUAAUCGGAAUUACUGGGCGUAAAGCGUGCGCAGGCGGUUCGUUGUGUCCGUUGUGAAAGCCCCGGGCUUAACCUGGGAACUGCGAUGGAAACUACCAAGCUGGAGUACGGUAGGGGCAGAGGGAAUUUCCGGUGGAGCGGUGAAAUGCAUUGAGAUCGGGAAGAACACCAACGGCGAAAGCACUCUGCUGGGCCGAAACUGACACUGAGAGACGAAAGCUAGGGGAGCAAAUGGG
rnacentral:rRNA from 1 species